UUGGAAUUUGUGCAGCCGCCGCGGUAAUACGGAAGGUCCAGGCGUUAUCCGGAUUUAUUGGGUUUCAAGGGAGCGUAGGCCGUUUGGUAAGCGUGUUGUGAAAUGUCGGGGCUCAACCUGGGCAUUGCAGCGCGAACUGUCAGACUUGAGUGCGCAGGAAGUAGGCGGAAUUCGUCGUGUAGCGGUGAAAUGCUUAGAUAUGACGAAGAACUCCGAUUGCGAAGGCAGCCUGCUGUAGCGCAACUGACGCUGAAGCUCGAAAGCGUGGGUAUCGAACAGG
rnacentral:rRNA from 1 species